rnacentral:lncRNA from 1 species
GGCCGUGGCGCUGUCGAGGGGGGCGUGGCCAGAGGGCCGUGCGCGGCCGGAGGGGGCGUGACCAUAGGGGCGUGGCGCUGUCGAGGGGGCGUGGCCAGAGGGCCGUGGCUCGACCCGAGGGGCGUGGCCGGGGCGUGGCGCGGCCGGAGGGGCGUGGCCACAGGGGGCACGGCGCGGCCGGAGGGGGGUGGCCGGGGCGUGGCCGGGGCGUGGCGCGGCCGCGGGGGUUUCCGCGCUGGGGGCGCGUCCGGGGGCGCAGGCGGGGCUUCCGCCGCGAGGGGCGGGGCGGGCGCCGGGGCUCUGACGGCCGGAGCCAGGGAAUUUCAAUUUGAAACGCGGCGGCGGAGGAGGCGGCGCGGCGGCCCCGAGGCUGCGGCUGGAGCGGGAGCGGCCCCGCGGGAGCGAGCCCCGGCGGCGCGGAGCGCGGUGAGGCGGCUCGCGGGGCUGCGGGGCUGCGGGGCUGCGGGCGGGGGCCGGGGGUCGGAGUCCUGGGGGCGCCGCGGGGCUGGGGGGGCUGGGGGGGUCGGGGGUCCCGGGGUCCGGGGGUCCGGGCGGAGCGGCUGGUCCCCGCGGAGCGCGGGCCGCCCGGAGUGUCCCCGAGGCCGCGGCCGGGGCGCUGAGCCGGGCAGGAAGCGGCGGCGGGACGGCGUCCCCGGGGGAGGGCGGCGGCCCCGGGACUGCUGCCUCCCGCCCCGAGGCCCGGGUCCCGGGUCCCCGCCCGCCUCUCCCUCCCCGGGGUCGGGGCCACGUCGGGGCGGCGCCGGGAGGGGCGGGGGCGCCGGUGAGCCGCGCGGGCCCCGAGGUGCUGGGGUUCGGGGCGGCGCGUCCCGGGCCCGCGGGGAGGCCGGCGGAGGAAUCCCGCUGCAUCCCGGGCGCCGGCCGCGGGCCCGAGCGGAUCCCGGAGCGGAGCUCGGCGCGGAGCUCGGCGCGGGGGUGAGGGGCGGCGGGGGGGGUGCGGCUGGGGCCCGCCGCGCGCGUGGGCGGUGCCGGGGCUGGGCGAGGGGCCCCACGCGCGCCGUCCCGCCGCCCCACGCGCGCCGCGUCCCGCCCCGUCCCUCCCCGCCCCCCCGCGCGCCCUGUUGCGGUCCCGGAGGUCGCGGGCGGCCCCCAGCGCCCGGGUCUCUGCGCCCACUGCCGGUCCGCCCGCGGGGCCGCUGCGGGGGGCGGGGGGCGGGUGCGGGGUCCGGGGGAUGCGAGUGCGGGGUGCAGGGUGCGGGGUCCGGGGGUGCAAGUGCACGGUGCGGGGUGCGGAGUCCGGGGGUGCAAAUGCAGGGUGCGGGGUGCGAGGUUCGGGGAUGUGCGGUCCGAGGUCUGGGGGUGCGAGUGCGCGGUGCAGGGUCCGGGGGUACGAGUGCGGGGUGCAGAGUGCGCGGUGCAGGGUCCGGGGGUGCAAGUGCACGGUGCGGGGUGCAGGGUGCAGGGUGCGCGGUCCGAGGUCCGGGGGUGCAGAGUACGCGGUGCAGGGUCCGGGGGUGCCGGGUGGGGUCCGGGGGCUCCGCUCCUUGGCGGCCAGGGUUGCGGGGAGGCUAG